UGAGUUGUUUAAGGAUUAAAUGGAAGCCUUACUACUGUUAUUGUCUUCCUCCCAUGUUGCUUUCAGAUGAUUUAGCGUACACUGGUUUGUCCGGUGACUGGAGAGCUACUCAUCUCACCUGAGCUGGAAAACAAAUAACAAAGCCUCGCGCGUGUCAGCUGUGAUCUCACGCAGAGACCAAAACGGCGUCUAGGGGUGCGUUUUAGUUUUCGAAAAAUCAAAAUCCUUCCCGCCAAAACGACUUGCUAGAAUUUGAAAAUGCCAUCUUGAAUUCGCACUCACAAAAACCAUCCAUCCUAAUAUACAAUCCAAUUCUUGGCAGAGAUAACUGAUUUAAGCAAGCAUAUAUGCAUAGAGUGAGAAUAUGGCGAUGAAUGAUGCUGGUUCAUCUCUAGAUUCUCUGAUUUCUUCCUUCAAUACUCGAAUCUCCGAGCUUCAAGAACUCGUUAUCGGCAGAAACAUGUAUCCAGCGAGCAGCAUCACCGAUUUAUCGGCGGUUGACACAUCAUUAAAGACGAUGGAGCUGCAGAUACAGGCUAUUAAGGACCGACUGCGCGAGGAGUUUGAGGCCAUUCCUAAAGCUAAGAAACUGAUUGAGAUGUCACUUCGGCAACAGAAGAAAUUGCAGAGUAUGUCUAGUCAUGUUCUCCCACAUAGAAUGAUCUCACUGAAUUUAGAUGCAAAUAAAAGUGUGCCGCCUGAAGCCCCUAAUCAACAAAAUGAGUUUGGUUCUUUGAAAACUGAAAACGAGCCUGCGCCAUUACCCAAGGAGAAAAAGGGCCGUGCCCCUCCACCAUUGUGGUAUAUAACUGCUGAUGAGCUGAAUUCCCUGCCAACAUAUAUGAGAGGAAGACUCACACUAGAUAAGGUCAAUGCUGCUAUCAAUGACAUGGCGACAUAUGCUGAAUCAAAUGCUCACCUUAUUGGAGCAUCCAAGAAGAAGCUGGCAGAAAAUCUCUGGGAAAAGGCCUUGCAAGUAAGAGAUAUUGCAAUGACAGAAACGGUAAAGGGAAAGCAUUUUUUUCUCGAAUCUGACAUAAAAGGGCCAACAUUGAAGCUUGACAACACUGGAAAAGCUAUGCUGACGGUAAGUCCUUUUUCUACUCUAUUUCUCUCAUUAUUCAUUAGUCAUUAGGUACACAAGCAAGGAAAAAAAACAGGGUUUCCCCACUCAACUUCAGGAAAUUCAAUCACAAGCAGCAUAAUUGGAAAUUUCAAGCCAGCCUUCUUUUCCUUAGAACCACAGAAUUUCCUGAACGUUCUUCGUCACCUCGGUCGCAUCAGUGAGACUCGGAUUGGGCCUCAUCGUAUACUCAUACUUUUGAAGCCCUAGAAAAGGUUGAUUGUCAGGAAAAGAUUUUAGGCGUUACCAAAAGUCUUGCUGGAGCAAGUGGUUUUGUUUAAAACCACAGCCUGCUUAGGAGACAAUGUCCAUGUGAAUCAAUUGGGAUAUCCGGUAUGAGUUUUUUGACUAUCGACGACAAACUUCCAAAUUUGUUUUGGAAUUGCACGUGUAUUCCUCUGCAUCUCAAAUUGUUAAUGCAAUUUUCUUUUUCUAGUCUAAUUAUAUGUAUUCUUAGCCUACUAUCUCAACUUGCAUCAAUGGCAGCCCUCUACUCAAAUUUGGAAGUUAUUUAAUUUUUUAACCUGCACCUCUGAUUACUGUCAUGGAAUGUGAUGCCGAUAAUUUGAUAGAAAAGCCGUUCAUUUUCAAUGAUUUCA